rfam:Toxocara canis scaffold2656, whole genome shotgun sequence.
GGCGAGAUGGCCGAGCGCACUAAAUCGCUGGUUUAAGGCAAAAGUCUCUUCGGAGGCGUGGGUUCCAAUCCCACUCUCGUCA